UCCUUGGAGAAGUGGCGGGCGGCCGCGAUU
rnacentral:sRNA from 1 species